UGGUAGUUAGGGUUUCGAAUCAUUCAUCGCCGGCCUUGCGGCUUUCUCUUUGAUUUAGUUGUCUUGGUUCAAUUUCAAUUCCGGAAAAAGUUUUAGAUGUGAUGAAGAAGUAAACCAUUGAUUACUUGGUCGUUUUCGUGGCGAUCAGGCAAGAUGAAGAUGAUUCUUUACAUAUGGUUCGUAUUCACUGAGCGUCGAUCUGUUUAGUAUUACCUUUUUCUCAUUUUUAUCAACGAAGGACCUAUGGAGGAGGCGCUAUGAUUCAGUGUGCUUUUAUCCAAGUUUGCCUUCGGAAAUAGCACCGAAAUCUGAUCGCUCACCAAUUCCCUGAUUCGUUGGUGAGGUUAAUGUUCGUGUCUGAUUUUCGCACAUUUUUAUGCAAAUCUCUAUUUUUCUUGAUGCGAAGGUCCCAGCAGGGGAGCGAAUUACUCUUACAGUGAGGCUCCUCUAACUAUUUAUUUCAAAGCCCUUCGCAGAUUUAAUAGCCGAAUCGUAGGAUGCCCAGAAUGUUUUGAUUUUUGGUGCAUCUGGAACCCUCGGCUAAAUGUCAACCUCGUUUUAAUUUACAUUUGCCAGGUUG